rnacentral:rRNA from 1 species
AUACGUAGGGACCGAGCGUUGUCCGGAUUCAUUGGGCGUAAAGAGCUCGUAGGCGGUUUGUUGCGUCGGCUGUGAAAUCCCGAGGCUCAACCUCGGGUCUGCAGUCGAUACGAGCAAACUAGAGUGUUGCAGGGGAGACUGGAAUUCCUGGUGUAGCGGUGAAAUGCGCAGAUAUCAGGAGGAACACCGGUGGCGAAGGCGGGUCUCUGGGCAACAACUGACGCUGAGGAGCGAAAGCGUGGGGAGCGAACAG